rnacentral:rRNA from 1 species
GGACCCGCACAAGCGGUGGAUGAUGUGGUUUAAUUCGAUGCAACGCGAAAAACCUUACCUACCCUUGACAUGUACGGAACUUGCCAGAGAUGGCUUGGUGCUCGAAAGAGAGCCGUAACACAGGUGCUGCAUGGCUGUCGUCAGCUCGUGUCGUGAGAUGUUGGUUAAGUCCCGCAACGAGCGCAACCCUUGUCAUUAGUUGCUACAUUUAGUUGGGCACUCUAAUGAGACUGCCGGUGACAAACCGGAGGAAGGUGGGGAUGACGUCAAGUCCUCAUGGCCCUUAUGGGUAGGGCUACACACGUCAUACAAAGUGGCCUGGUGACAAAGGGGUUGCCAACCCGCGAGGGGAGCUAA